GCGCAUCGUACUCUUACUCAUGCAGUCGAGUCGUAUGCUUCUUCGGAAGCUGACACCGCCGCUCGCGUGCGUAACGCGUAUGCAAUCUACCUUUUACAGACUGAUAUCCCAGAUAAAUUUGGAUUUUUACCUCAUACUAUAGCAGUUUCGCAUGAAACCACUAUUAACGUCACAACGGUGAAAGAUGAGCAUGCCUUCCAUUACCUAGUUGCUAAGGUAACGGCUUACCAAGGCUACCAUGUGUAGUUGUCCUGAGAGGGAGAUCCCCCACUCUGGUUCUGAACCCCGGACCAAACUUUUACGGGAGGCAGCAGUGAGGAAUAUUGGACAAUGGGCGCAAGCCUGAUCCAGCCAUGCCGCGUGCAGGAUGACGGUCCUAUGGAUUGUAAACUGCUUUUAUACGAGAAGAAACACUGCUACGUGUAGCAGCUUGACGGUAUCGUAAGAAUAAGGAUCGGCUAACUCCGUGCCAGCAGCCGCGGUAAUACGGAGGAUCCAAGCGUUAUCCGGAAUCAUUGGGUUUAAAGGGUCCGUAGGCGGUUUAAUAAGUCAGUGGUGAAAGCCCAUCGCUCAACGGUGGAACGGCCAUUGAUACUGUUAGACUUGAAUUAUUAGGAAGUAACUAGAAUAUGUAGUGUAGCGGUGAAAUGCUUAGAGAUUACAUGGAAUACCAAUUGCGAAGGCAGGUUACUACUAAUUGAUUGACGCUGAUGGACGAAAGCGUGGGUAGCGAACAGGAUUAGAUACCCUGGUAGUCCACGCCGUAAACGAUGGAUACUAGCUGUUGGAAAGCAAUUUCAGUGGCUAAGCGAAAGUGAUAAGUAUCCCACCUGGGGAGUACGUUCGCAGAUGAAACUCAAAGGAAUUGACGGGGGCCCGCACAAGCGUGAGCAUGUGUUUAAUUCGAUGAUACGCGAGGACCUUACCAGCUUAAAUGUAGAUUGACUGGUUUGAAACAGAUCUUUCGCAGACAUUUACAGUGCUGCAUGCUGUCGUCAGCUCGUGCGUGGAGUGUCAGUAGUCUAUACGAGCGCACCCUGUGUAGUGGCAGCGAGUCAGUCCGACUCUACCAGACUGCAUGCACCUGUAAGAGGUGGAUGACGUCAAUCAUCAGGCCUUACCUGGUCUACACUGCUCAAUGCCGUCAGAGCACCAUGUCGACGACGAUCUAACGUCAGUUCGACCAGGAGCGAAUUUAUAAAACCGGUCACAGUUCGGAUCGGAGUUUGCAACUCGACUCCGUGAAGCUGGAAUCGGUAGUAAUCGGAUAUCAGCCAUGAUCCGGUGAAUACGUUCCCGGGCCUUGUACACACCUCCCGUCAAGCCAUGGAAGCUGGGGGUGCCGGAAGUCGGUGACCGCAAGGAGCUGCCUAUGGGAAAAAACUUUUUU
rnacentral:rRNA from 1 species